rnacentral:rRNA from 1 species
CCUACGGGGGGCAGCAGUGGGGAAUAUUGCACAAUGGGGGAAACCCUGAUGCAGCGACGCCGCGUGAGUGAAGACGUAACUCGUUAUGUAAAGCUCUAUCAGUAGGGAAGAAAAUGACGGUACCUGAGUAAGAAGCCCCGGCUAACUACGUGCCAGCAGCCGCGGUAAUACGUAGGGGGCAAGCGUUAUCCGGAUUUACUGGGUGUAAAGGGGGCGUAGACGGCUGGGCAAGGCUGGAGUGAAAGGCGGGGGCCCAACCCCCGGACGGCUCUGGAAACUGUACGGCUGGAGUGCGGGAGAGGUAAGUGGAAUUCCUGGUGUAGCGGUGGAAUGCGUAGAUAUUAGGAGGAACACCAGUGGCGAAGGCGGCUUACUGGACCGUAACUGACGUUGAGGCUCGAAAGCGUGGGGAGCGAACAGGAUUAGAUACCCGUGUAGUC